CAGCCGCCACGGUAAUACGGAGGGGGCUAGCGUUGUUCGGAAUUACUGGGCGUAAAGCGCACGUAGGCGGCUUGGUAAGUUAGAGGUGAAAGCCCGGAGCUCAACUCCGGAAUUGCCUUUAAGACUGCCGAGCUAGCAGGUGAGAGAGGUAAGUGGAAUUCCGAGUGUAGAGGUGAAAUUCGUAGAUAUUCGGAAGAACACCAGUGGCGAAGGCGGCUUACUGGCUCAUACUGGACGCUGAGGUGCGAAAGCGUGGGGAGCAAACAGGAUUAGAUACCCCGGUAGUCCCUGUCUCUUAUAC
rnacentral:rRNA from 1 species